GGAACAACUGCAGUCGUCAGCUCCAGCGUGGUGUGUGCUCUUGCCGGGAUCCACACAAUUGGUGGACAACCCCUGUCUACGUCUAUGGGAGGUCAAAGUCCACUGCAAGCAGUGACUGAUACGAUUCCCUGUGUAAGUCAGGCUGGACUGCCUCUGCCUCAGGUUCUAACAGCAGGGGAGUUUGUGCAAGAGCACGUUGGUAGGUGUUUGUCUGGAUUUCUCUGUGGUCCCUGUGACGAUCCUAGGAAGCAGGAGAAGAUCCAGAAUUGUCUGAAAGCCAGGAUUCUUUGAAAUCCCAGAGAAGUAAUGAUGAGCAAUGUGGCUGAACCUGCUAGCCUGCUUCCCAUUCUGCUUCUUGUAUGUGUCCAAGAAGCUGCCUCCAGUUUAUACAAUUGCACUCUAGUAAACAAUUUUGCAUGCAGCUAUGGGCAGCAGAUGUUACUCAUGCCUGUGUGGACACUUCAGUGUUUUUACAGCAGGGAUGAUCCUCAGAUUGAGUCCUGUUAAACAAUGGAUGUACCCACCAGAAGUCCCACUGGUCUCAGCCAUUCUGUUACAGCUUGCUCAGAACACUUUGAAGGAUGGUCACGCCAUCCUUCUUUGGCCACUCAAGGGGAUUGACUCACAAAUAUGAGCAAAAUAAAAUUAGAUGGCUUAAGUGGCUGCAGCCCCAGCUGUGUCCCCACUGCCCGAUUCCCAGAAGGUCAUCCCUGCAGCCAGGCUGGCUGUGGAAGGCAACUCCAGAGCUGCUGUAGUGACAGCCCAUUCUUCAGGGUGUUAAUGCUUGUCUGGCUCCUCUGUGAAACAGUUUAGGAAGCUUAACCAGAAUAAAAAUGUGCACUUUUCCAUCUGAAGAAUUAUUUUUUAGUUUAAUUUCUCAAAUGGGCUCUGAGAAGCAGCAGUGUUGCUGUGAGGGCAGGGCAGAAAGAGAUGACCUUCCCUUUUGGGAGCAGCCAUUACGUCAGUUUUGCUGCCUCACAAAACUAUACCCUAUGGUUAUUUUUGGUACUAGACUGCCUUAAUUUUCUGGAGAGUGAAUGAAGGAUUAGCAUAGUGUGCUUAUGACAUUUGGAAACUAAGCUUUCAG